rnacentral:rRNA from 1 species
UACGGGGGGAGCAAGCGUUGUUCGGAAUUACUGGGCGUAAAGGGCUCGUAGGCGGCCAACUAAGUCAGACGUGAAAUCCCUCAGCUUAACUGGGGAACUGCGUCUGAUACUGGAUGGCUUGGAUUCGGGAGAGGAAUGCGGAAUUCCAGGUGUAGCGGUGAAAUGCGUAGAUAUCUGGAGGAACACCGGUGGCGAAGGCGGCAUUCUGGACCGAUAUUGACGCUGAGGAGCGAAAGCCAGGGGAGCAAACGGG